UACAGAGGGGGCAAGCGUUAUUCGGAAUUAUUGGGCGUAAAGGGCGCGUAGGCGGCUUUGCAAGUGGCGGGUGAAAUCCCUCGGCUUAACCGAGGAACUGCCUGUCAAACUGCAUGGCUUGAGACCAGGAGAGGUGAGUGGAAUUCCCAGUGUAGCGGUGAAAUGCGUAGAUAUUGGGAGGAACACCAGUGGCGAAGGCGGCUCACUGGACUGGUACUGACGCUGAUGCGCGAAAGCGUGGGAGCAAACAGG
rnacentral:rRNA from 1 species